rnacentral:rRNA from 1 species
UACGUAGGGUGCAAGCGUUAUCCGGAAUUAUUGGGCGUAAAGAGCUCGUAGGCGGUUGUGCGCUCUCGCUGUGAAAACCCGAGGCUCAACCUCGGGCCUGCAGUGGGUACGGGCAGACUAGAGUGCGGUAGGGGGAGAAUUGGAAUUCCUGGUGUAGCGGUGGAAUGCGCAGAUAUCAGGAGGAACACCGAUGGCGAAGGCAGUUCUCUGGGCCGUAACUGACGCUGAGGAGCGAAAGCGUGGGGAGCGAACAGG